CGCGUAGGCGGCUUGGCAAGUCAGAUGUGAAAGCCCCGGGCUUAACUCGGGAAUUGCAUCUGAAACUGCCUUGCUUGAGUCCUGGAUGGGAUAGUGGAAUUCCCAGUGUAGCGGUGAAAUGCGUAGAUAUUGGGAGGAACACCUGCGGCGAAGGCGGCUAUCUGGACAGUGACUGACGCUGAGGCGCGAAAGCUAGGGGAGCGAACG
rnacentral:rRNA from 1 species